rnacentral:lncRNA from 1 species
GGUGAAACACAUCCUGAAUCCUGUGGCAAUAGCUGCUGAUACGGUCUUGUAAACCACUUCCUUGACCUCAAAUUGCAGCUGUGCACACUUUUAUCUUGCUUGACGUAUGGCUGGAGGUAGGAUUUAAUUUCCACUCUUCAUAUGAAACAAGGCUGUUAAGUGUUAUUAGAAGCUGUUACUGUGAUCUGCAGUGUCCAUUCCACUAAUACAUUUAUGUUUGCUUUCCAGCUUACCCUGAGAUCUUCAUUAGCCUGCAGGAGGGCUCAGCCAGCACUUCACAGAAGCCCAAUGUGAGCUGUGUCGUGAGGAAGGCGUUUCACAAGCCAAGCCUCCUGUGGUACAUGGACAGAGCAAGCCUGAUGGAGAAGCCUGGAGAAAUUUCUGUGGUACAAGAAGACUUGCAAGACAGUGAAGGUUUCUAUGAGUUGAGAUCAACACUGAUGCUACAAGGGACCCACGAGACACAUAAGACAUUCUCAUGUGUGUGUCUGUUUCCCUUCCUGGGAAAUGAAACAAGGAAUAUUUCAUCAGAAGAAAUAUUUGUUUCCUUUGGCAAUAAGUCUGAUGAAGCCUCAGCUGAAGUUUUUACUACCACAGUUUCAGAUGGUAGGAUAAAUUAGAGAAUAAAAUAAUUUAGGUUGUGUUCGAGGUGCA